rnacentral:rRNA from 1 species
AUUGAACGCUGGCGGCAUGCCUUACACAUGCAAGUCGAACGGCAGCACGGGAGCAGUCCUGGUGGCGAGUGGCGAACGGGUGAGUAAUAUAUCGGAACGUGCCCGGUCGUGGGGGAUAACGUAGCGAAAGCUACGCUAAUACCGCAUACGAUCUACGGAUGAAAGCGGGGGAUCGCAAGACCUCGCGCGAUUGGAGCGGCCGAUAUCAGAUUAGGUAGUUGGUGAGGUAAAGGCUCACCAAGCCGACGAUCUGUAGCUGGUCUGAGAGGACGACCAGCCACACUGGGACUGAGACACGGCCCAGACUCCUACGGGAGGCAGCAGUGGGGAAUUUUGGACAAUGGGCGGCAAGCCUGAUCCAGCAAUGCCGCGUGCAGGAUGAAGGCCUCGG